GAUGAAGAACGUAGCGAAAUGCGAUAAGUAAUGUGAAUUGCAGAAUUCAGUGAAUCAUCGAUUCUUUGAACGCACCUUGCACCCUUUGGCAUUCUGAAGGGUAUGCUCGUUUGAGUGUCAUUGUACUCUCACACUCCCGAUCUUUGCAUUGGGAGCAGUGGACUUGGGUUUGCUGCUUCACCGUCGCUUACCUCAAAUAGGUUAGUGCAACUCUUGGUUGGACAUAGUACGGCGUGAUAAGUGUUCUUCGCCGGUGCCUCGCAAAGAGGGUGGCCGAUCGGGAUGUUGUGCUCCAAACCGUCUUCGGACAAUCUCUGACGACUUGACCUCAAAUCGAGUAAGACUACCCGCUGAACUUAAGCAUAUCAAUAAGCGGAGGA
rnacentral:misc_RNA from 1 species